rnacentral:miRNA from 1 species
UCACCAUUGCAUCUCAUGUUCC